GAUGAACGCUAGCUACAGGCUUAACACAUGCAAGUCGCGGGGCAGCAUUUUCUUAGCUUGCUAAGGAAGAUGGCGACCGGCGCACGGGUGAGUAACGCGUAUCCAACCUUCCCAUGUCCACGGGAUAGCCCGUCGAAAGGCGGAUUAAUACCGUAUGAGGUCACAUGCGGGCAUCUAAUUGUGACGAAAGGUUUAGCGGACAUGGAUGGGGAUGCGUCCGAUUAGCUAGUUGGCGGGGUAACGGCCCACCAAGGCGACGAUCGGUAGGGGUUCUGAGAGGAAGGUCCCCCACAUUGGAACUGAGACACGGUCCAAACUCCUACGGGAGGCAGCAGUGAGGAAUAUUGGUCAAUGGACGCAAGUCUGAACCAGCCAAGUAGCGUGCAGGAUGACGGCCCUAUGGGUUGUAAACUGCUUUUAUGCGGGGAUAAAGUUAGGGAUGUAUCCCUUUUUGCAGGUACCGCAUGAAUAAGGACCGGCUAAUUCCGUG
rnacentral:rRNA from 1 species